CUUGUUAACCAUGAGAGGUCCAGCCUGCCCAGUGAAUUAAUUUAACGGCCGCGGUAUCCUAACCGUGCGAAGGUAGCGUAAUCACUUGUUCUUUAAAUGAGGACUAGUAUGAAUGGCAUCACGAAGGUUAUACUGUCUCCCCUUUUUAAUCAGUGAAACUAAUCUUCCCGUGAAGAAGCGGGGAUAAAAUUAUAAGACGAGAAGACCCUAUGGAGCUUUAGACUACGCAACAAUUGCUAUUCACUUUUUAUCCUAUGGGACCCCAACUAUAUUUUCUCAUAUUGAUUGCUAGUCUUGGGUUGGGGUGACCGCGGAGUAGAAUAUAACCUCCACGAUGAAAGAAACUUAAUUUCUUAACCCAGAGUUACAACUCUAAGUACCAAAAAAUUUGACAUGAAUUGAUCCAAUAUAUUGAUCAACGAAC
rnacentral:rRNA from 1 species